rnacentral:rRNA from 1 species
GACGGAGGAUGCAAGUGUUAUCCGGAAUCACUGGGCGUAAAGCGUCUGUAGGUGGUUUAAAAAGUCCACUGUUAAAAAUUGAAGCUUAACUUCAAAGAUGCCGUGGAAACUUUCAAACUAGAGUAUGGUAGGGGUAGAGGGAAUUUCCAGUGGAGCGGUGAAAUGCGUAGAUAUUGGAAAAGACCACCGAUGGCGAAGGCACUCUACUGGGCCAUUACUGACACUGAGAGACGAAAGCUAGGGGAGCGAAUGGG